rnacentral:sRNA from 1 species
AGUGAGAGUUGCUGGUGGCUAAUUAGCAGUGCGUUUUAGUUUCUGCUGACAAUUCCAGGCAGGCCAUGGUGGGUGUCCCAGAGAUGAGGGCCCAGCUCCCCGGCCCUUUCCCCCGGGAGGCCGGCGGGUGACGCUCUUGAGGUUUCUCCUGCAGCACAUUCACGCACAACAUGCUGGCCUUUGGACUGAACAAGAAGCUGUGCAAUGACUUCCUGAAGAAGCAGGCUGUGAUUGGCAACCUGGAUGAAGAGCAAUACAAGCUGCUUAGUGACCACAUUGAGCAAAUGGCCACUGAGUAGGGCCCAGAGGUCGCCCUCCGCAGGAGGACUGAGGCCAUGCGCCAUUCUCCCGGGCCCAGCGCCCGGCCCGUCACCCCACCUGAUGACCUGCAUGAAGCCAGCAGCACCCAGAGCCACUCCUGCUGCCCUAGAACUAGCGGUUAGAAGAAUCCGCUGCUCCUCCCUCAUCUCCUCUGCCUGUGUCUGCGACCCCUAUCCAUGUGCCAAAGUGUCCCUUGGGUCACACGGCUAAAGCCGAGGUGACCAGUUGUACCCUGAGUGCCAGGCUUGUGAGAUGAGACCAAGAGGGAGGAGGGGAAGGACGCCAUGGGCCAUCGUGGGCCAAGGGCUGGCAAGGGUGGAGGCGGGUGAGGGAUGCCAGCAGGACAGCCAUGAGGUGGGGCUGCAGCCGGCACACCCAGUGGUGGAGGGCCAGCGCUGCCACUCACGGU